UACGUAGGGUGCAAGCGUUGUCCGGAAUUAUUGGGCGUAAAGAGCUUGUAGGCGGUUUGUCGCGUCUGCUGUGAAAGCUCGGGGCUCAACCCCGGGUCGGCCGUGCGAACUACUGGGCUGGAGCACUGUAGAGGCAGGCGGAAUUCCGGGUGUAGCGGUGGAAUGCGUAGAGAUCCGGAAGAACACCGGUGGCGAAGGCGGCCUGCUGGGCAGAUACUGACGCUGAGGUGCGAAAGCGUGGGGAGCAAACAGG
rnacentral:rRNA from 1 species